AGACUGAACGCUGGCGGCAUGGCUAAAACAUGCAAGUCGAACGGACCCGCAAGGGUUAGUGGCGGAAGGGUGAGUAAUAGUAUCGAAUGUACCCCGAGGUGGGGGAUAGGCACGGGAAACUGUGCGUAAUACCCCAUGAUCUCGAGAGAGCAAAGCCGCAAGGCGCCUUGGGAGCAGCGAUAUUCCUAUCAGGUAGUUGGCGGGGUAAUGGCCCACCAAGCCGAAGACGGGUAGCCGGUGUGAGAGCACGGCCGGCCACAUCGGGACUGAGACACUGCCCGGACUCCUACGGGAGGCUGCAGUAACGAAUAUUCCGCAAUGGGCGAAAGCCUGACGGAGCAAUGCCGCGUGUGGGAUGAAGCGGUUUCGCCGUGUAAACCACUGUCAGGAGAUAGAAAAGCUGAUCAUCUCCAGAGGAAGGGGCGACUAACUCUGUGCCAGCAGUCGCGGUAAUACAGAGGCCCCAAGCGUUAGUCGGAAUCACUGGGCUUAAAGGGUGCGUAGGCGGGCGUGUAAGUGUCUUGUGAAAGCCCCGGGCUCAACCCGGGAACCGCAUGGCAUACUGCACGUCUUGAAGAAACUAGAGGCCGGCAGAACGAUCGGUGGAGCGGUGGAAUGCGUAGAGAUCGAUCGGAAUGCCAAGGGUGAAGACAGCCGGCUGGGGUUUUCUUGACGCUGAGGCACGAAAGCGUGGGGAGCAAACAGGAUUAGAUACCCUGGUAGUCCACGCCCUAAACGAUGCACACUGGAUCGAUGCCGGUUUCACCCGGUAUUGGUCGUAGAGAAAUUGCUAAGUGUGCC
rnacentral:rRNA from 1 species